CAGUCGAGCGAGACCUUCGGGUCUAGCGGCGGACGGGUGAGUAACGCGUGGGAACGUGCCCUUUGCUACGGAAUAGUCCCGGGAAACUGGGUUUAAUACCGUAUGUGCCCUUCGGGGGAAAGAUUUAUCGGCAAAGGAUCGGCCCGCGUUGGAUUAGGUAGUUGGUGGGGUAAUGGCCUACCAAGCCGACGAUCCAUAGCUGGUUUGAGAGGAUGAUCAGCCACACUGGGACUGAGACACGGCCCAGACUCCUACGGGAGGCAGCAGUGGGGAAUCUUAGACAAUGGGGGCAACCCUGAUCUAGCCGUGCCGCGUGAGUGAUGAAGGCCUUAGGGUUGUAAAGCUCUUUCAGCUGGGAAGAUAAUGACGGUACCAGCAGAAGAAGCCCCGGCUAACUCCGUGCCAGCAGCCGCGGUAAUACGGAGGGGGCUAGCGUUGUUCGGAAUUACUGGGCGUAAAGCGCACGUAGGCGGACUGGAAAGUUGGGGGUGAAAUCCCGGGGCUCAACCUCGGAACUGCCUUCAAAACUAU
rnacentral:rRNA from 1 species